UACGGGGGGGGCAAGCGUUGUUCGGAAUUACUGGGCGUAAAGGGCUCGUAGGCGGCCAACUAAGUCAGACGUGAAAUCCCUCGGCUUAACCGGGGAACUGCAUCUGAUACUGGAUGGCUUGAGUUCGGGAGAGGGAUGCGGAAUUCCAGGUGUAGCGGUGAAAUGCGUAGAUAUCUGGAGGAACACCGGUGGCGAAGGCGGCAUCCUGGACCGGCACUGACGCUGAGGAGCGAAAGCCAGGGAGCAAACGGG
rnacentral:rRNA from 1 species